AUCACCGAAAGGAAAUUUUUGAAUUUAGGAUAAUUUGUGGAGUGGUGUUCACUUUUUCAUUUCUAUUGAGCUUAAUAAUCAGUUCAUUAUUCACAUUGUCAAAAUUU